rnacentral:lncRNA from 1 species
GACAGGUAUUGGAGUGGUACAAUUCAUGACAGGCUGGGUAUCUAAUACUAUGAAGUCGACUGGAAAGUAGAAUUUAUCAAUUUGGACAAGUACAUCCUCGACUACUCCUCUUGGUAUCUUUAUAGAUCGAUCGGCAAGUUGGAGAGUAACCUUGGUGGGUUUUAAUUCACCAAGUCCUAACUGUUCAUAAACUGAAUAGGGCAGUA